UAGAGGUUUUUUUCUCUGUCAGAUUGAACGCUGGCGGCAUGCUUACACAUGCAAGUCGAACGGUAACAGGUCUCGGAUGCUGACGAGUGCGAACGGGUGAGUAAUACAUCGGAACGUGCCCGAGAGUGGGGGAUAACGAAGCGAAAGCUUUGCUAAUACCGCAUACGAUCUCAGGAUGAAAGCAGGGGACCGCAAGGCCCUUGCGCUCACGGAGCGGCCGAUGGCAGAUUAGGUAGUUGGUGGGAUAAAAGCUUACCAAGCCGACGAUCUGUAGCUGGUCUGAGAGGACGACCAGCCACACUGGACUGAGACACGGCCCAGACUCCUACGGGAGGCAGCAGUGGGGAAUUUUGGACAAUGGGCGCAAGCCUGAUCCAGCCAUGCCGCGUGCAGGAUGAAGGCCUUCGGGUUGUAAACCGCUUUUGUACGGAACGAAAAGACUCUGGUUAAUACCUGGGGUCCAUGACGGUACCGUAAGAAUAAGCACCGGCUAACUACGUGCCAGCAGCCGCGGUAAUAC
rnacentral:rRNA from 1 species